rnacentral:sRNA from 1 species
CCGUGCACAUCGCCGAAUUCUGCCGGUGCCCGGGGUCCCAAACACAGAAAUCGCUUGGCAGAAGCGGGGGAACCACAUGCGGUCCCGUCCACCGGGACCUAGGGGUUAAGUCGUUCGGAGCGCGUGCGCUCCGCGGCCGGGUGUCUCCCACCCGCAUCCGACAGCUCACCUCGUAGGCAAAGGGAGGAACA